UCAAUGAUUGCAGUAUAGCUACUUAAGUAAUCUAAAAGAGACUUAUCAGCAUGUUGCAGGUGAACAUGGCCUUGAGAUGUUUUUCUUCUAAAUAAAUGAGAAAGAUGUUUCAACAAAGGCUCUUUAUGCUGAAUAAUUGUGAUGCUUGAAGUUCCUAAUCUGCUUUAAGUGGAUUUGUCUGACAUUUGGUGUAAAUGUCAGACAAUUCUAGACAGUUUUUUCUUGGUCAAAUAAAAAUUUAAUUAAAA
rnacentral:lncRNA from 1 species